rnacentral:rRNA from 1 species
UACGGGGGGGGCAAGCGUUGUUCGGAAUUACUGGGCGUAAAGGGCUCGUAGGCGGCCAUCUAAGUCGGACGUGAAAUCCCUCGGCUUAACCGGGGAACUGCGUCCGAUACUGGUAGGCUUGAAUCCGGGAGAGGGAUGCGGAAUUCCAGGUGUAGCGGUGAAAUGCGUAGAUAUCUGGAGGAACACCGGUGGCGAAGGCGGCAUCCUGGACCGGUAUUGACGC